CACUCUAGAGGGACUGCCGGCGACAAGUCGGAGGAAGUGGGAUGACGUCAAAUCAUCAUGCCCUAUGACCUGGGCUACACACGUGCUACAAUGGGCGGUACAAAGGGCUGCGAACCCGCGAGGGGGAGCGAAUCCCAAAAAGCCGCUCUCAGUUCGGACUUGCAGGCUGCAACUCGCCUGCAUGAAGCCGGAAUCGCUAGUAAUCGCGGAUCAGCAUGCCGCGGUGAAUACGUUCCCGGGCCUU
rnacentral:rRNA from 1 species